rnacentral:rRNA from 1 species
AGAUUGAACGCUGGCGGCAUGCCUAACACAUGCAAGUCGAGCGGCAGCGCGGGGGCGACCCUGGCGGCGAGCGGCGGACGGGUGAGUAAGGCAUCGGAAUCUGCCCUGAUGUGGGGGAUAACGUAGGGAAACUUACGCUAAUACCGCAUACGACCGAGAGGUGAAAGCGGGGGACCGAAAGGCCUCGCGCAGCAGGAUGAGCCGAUGUCCGAUUAGCUAGUUGGUGGGUAACGGACCGACCUAACGGACGGACGAUCGGUAGGCUGGUCGUGAGAGGAGUGAUCAGCCACCACUGGGACGUGAGGACACGGCCCAGACUCCUACGGGAGGCAGC